GCCGCGCGACGAGGCGCAGAAGAAAGCAGCGGGGGGGGCGGUCAGCACCCUGCCAGUGGGCGGCUGACUGCCGAGAAACAAAACACUGGCUACGCUCGUAGGCACCGAUGCUUAAGCCUUCCCGGACGCGGGUUCAAUUCCCGCCGCCUCCACCA
rnacentral:tmRNA from 1 species